rnacentral:rRNA from 1 species
GAUGAACGCUGGCGGCGUGCCUAAUACAUGCAAGUCGAGCGAACGGACGAGAAGCUUGCUUCUCUGAUGUUAGCGGCGGACGGGUGAGUAACACGUGGAUAACCUACCUAUAAGACUGGGAUAACUUCGGGAAACCGGAGCUAAUACCGGAUAAUAUUUUGAACCGCAUGGUUCAAAAGUGAAAGACGGUCUUGCUGUCACUUAUAGAUGGAUCCGCGCUGCAUUAGCUAGUUGGUAAGGUAACGGCUUACCAAGGCAACGAUGCAUAGCCGACCUGAGAGGGUGAUCGGCCACACUGGAACUGAGACACGGUCCAGACUCCUACGGGAGGCAGCAGUAGGGAAUCUUCCGCAAUGGGCGAAAGCCUGACGGAGCAACGCCGCGUGAGUGAUGAAGGUCUUCGGAUCGUAAAACUCUGUUAUUAGGGAAGAACAUAUGUGUAAGUAACUGUGCACAUCUUGACGGUACCUAAUCAGGAAGCCACGGCUAACUACGUGCCAGCAGCCGCGGUAAUACGUAGGUGGCAAGCGUUAUCCGGAAUUAUUGGGCGUAAAGCGCGCGUAGGCGGUUUUUUAAGUCUGAUGUGAAAGCCCACGGCUCAACCGUGGAGGGUCAUUGGAAACUGGAAAACUUGAGUGCAGAAGAGGAAAGUGGAAUUCCAUGUGUAGCGGUGAAAUGCGCUGAGAUAUGGAGGAACACCAGUGGCGAAGGCGACUUUCUGGUCUGUAACUGACGCUGAUGUGCGAAAGCGUGGGGAUCAAACAGGAUUAGAUACCCUGGUAGUCCACGCCGUAAACGAUGAGUGCUAAGUGUUAGGGGGUUUCCGCCCCUUAGUGCUGCAGCUAACGCAUUAAGCACUCCGCCUGGGGAGUACGACCGCAAGGUUGAAACUCAAAGGAAUUGACGGGGACCCGCACAAGCGGUGGAGCAUGUGGUUUAAUUCGAAGCAACGCGAAGAACCUUACCAAAUCUUGACAUCCUUUGACAACUCUAGAGAUAGAGCCUUCCCCUUCGGGGGGCAAAGUGACAGGUGGUGCAUGGUUGUCGUCAGCUCGUGUCGUGAGAUGUUGGGUUAAGUCUCGCAACGAGCGCAACCCUUAAGCUUAGUUGCCAUCAUUAAGUUGGGCACUCUAAGUUGACUGCCGGUGACAAACCGGAGGAAGGUGGGGAUGACGUCAAAUCAUCAUGCCCCUUAUGAUUUGGGCUACACACGUGCUACAAUGGACAAUACAAAGGGCAGCGAAACCGCGAGGUCAAGCAAAUCCCAUAAAGUUGUUCUCAGUUCGGAUUGUAGUCUGCAACUCGACUACAUGAAGCUGGAAUCGCUAGUAAUCGUAGAUCAGCAUGCUACGGUGAAUACGUUCCCGGGUCU